rnacentral:rRNA from 1 species
UACGGGGGGAGCAAGCGUUGUUCGGAUUUACUGGGCGUAAAGGGCGCGUAGGCGGUCACUACAAGUCAGUUGUGAAAUCUCUGGGCUUAACUCAGAACGGUCAACUGAUACUGUCGGACUAGAGUGCAGAAGGGCAACUGGAAUUCUCGGUGUAGCGGUGAAAUGCGUAGAUAUCGAGAGGAAUCACCUGCGGCGAAGGCGGGUUGCUGGGCUGACACUGACGCUGAUGCGCGAAAGCCAGGGGAGCGAACGGG